CCCUGCCCUGAGAGCCAAAUCGAAUUUCAUUCAUUUUAUUCCACCAUCUCCGCUCCACUUUUCAGCUGUGUAACCUUAGGAAAGUUCCUGAGCGUCAAUUGUUGAGUCUCUGAGCUUCAGUGUUCUCCAUUUCUUCAUUUCUUUAAAGUGAACAUGAGAGAGAGAAUACCAAGUAGAUUCCUUGCUGAGUCCAUCAAGGGGCUGGAUCCCACAACCAUGAGAACAUGGCCUGAGCAGAAACCAGGAGUUGGGCACUCCACCAAGAGUGGAUGCUCCACUGACUGCCCUACCACCAGUUCCGACAUCUUACUUAUGACCAUACUGACCUGGCACUCAGUACUACCUCUUGUUCUCUUUUUUGAGGUGAGUUUUUCCAUCUUGUCAUAUUCGCAGAAAGUGUACGCUCUUCUGUUUAUAUAGUUGCAGCAAUUCUUUUCUUAGAUCUCUGGUUGAGUUCACAGGUGGUCAGAAUGAUGUGAUAGCUAUCUAGAUGAAUUCCUGGGACCAAACAAGACUAAGGUCUCCUCCUACUUGACCAUCCUGGACUCCUCCAGGACUUUUUUUUUUCUAUUCGGUUUUUA